GUCUACGGCCAUACCAGCCUGAAUGCACCCAGUCUCGUCUGAUCUCGGAAGCUAAGCAGGGUCGGGCCGGGUUAGUACUUGGAUGGGAGACCACCUGGGAAUACCGGGUGCCGUAGGCU
rnacentral:rRNA from 1 species